GAUGAACGCUAGCGGCAGGCUUAACACAUGCAAGUCGAGGGGCAGCACGAUAAAGCUUGCUUUAUUGGUGGCGACCGGCGCACGGGUGCGUAACGCGUAUGCAACCUACCUAUUGCAGGGGAAUAGCCCAGGGAAACUUGGAUUAAUGCCCCAUAGUCCAUAUUGAGAGCAUUUGAUGUAUGGUAAAGAUUUAUCGGCAA
rnacentral:rRNA from 1 species